rnacentral:rRNA from 1 species
UACGUAGGGUGCAAGCGUUAAUCGGAAUUACUGGGCGUAAAGCGUGCGCAGACGGUUUUGUAAGUCAGAUGUGAAAUCCCCGGGCUUAACCUGGGAACUGCGUUUGAAACUACAAGGCUAGAGUGUGACAGAGGGGGGUGGAAUUCCACGUGUAGCAGUGAAAUGCGUAGAGAUGUGGAGGAACACCGAUGGCGAAGGCAGCCCCCUGGGUUAACACUGACGCUCAGGCACGAAAGCGUGGGGAGCAAACAGG